rnacentral:miRNA from 1 species
CCUAGAACUUACUUUGUAGACCAGUCUGGCCUCAGACUCACAGAGAUCCGCCUGCCUCUGCUCCUGAGUUCUGGGAU